AGAGUUUGAUCAUGGCUCAGAUUGAACGCUGGCGGCAGGCUUAACACAUGCAAGUCGAGCGGGGGAAGGUAGCUUGCUACUGGACCUAGCGGCGGACGGGUGAGUAAUGCUUAGGAAUCUGCCUAUUAGUGGGGGACAACAUCUCGAAAGGGAUGCUAAUACCGCAUACGUCCUACGGGAGAAAGCAGGGGAUCUUCGGACCUUGCGCUAAUAGAUGAGCCUAAGUCGGAUUAGCUAGUUGGUGGGGUAAAGGCCUACCAAGGCGACGAUCUGUAGCGGGUCUGAGAGGAUGAUCCGCCACACUGGGACUGAGACACGGCCCAGACUCCUACGGGAGGCAGCAGUGGGGAAUAUUGGACAAUGGGGGGAACCCUGAUCCAGCCAUGCCGCGUGUGUGAAGAAGGCCUUAUGGUUGUAAAGCACUUUAAGCGAGGAGGAGGCUACUUUAGUUAAUACCUAGAGAUAGUGGACGUUACUCGCAGAAUAAGCACCGGCUAACUCUGUGCCAGCAGCCGCGGUAAUACAGAGGGUGCGAGCGUUAAUCGGAUUUACUGGGCGUAAAGCGUGCGUAGGCGGCUUAUUAAGUCGGAUGUGAAAUCCCCGAGCUUAACUUGGGAAUUGCAUUCGAUACUGGUGAGCUAGAGUAUGGGAGAGGAUGGUAGAAUUCCAGGUGUAGCGGUGAAAUGCGUAGAGAUCUGGAGGAAUACCGAUGGCGAAGGCAGCCAUCUGGCCUAACACUGACGCUGAGGUGCGAAAGCAUGGGGAGCAAACAGGAUUAGAUACCCUGGUAGUCCAUGCCGUAAACGAUGUCUACUAGCCGUUGGGGCCUUUGAGGCUUUAGUGGCGCAGCUAACGCGAUAAGUAGACCGCCUGGGGAGUACGGUCGCAAGACUAAAACUCAAAUGAAUUGACGGGGGCCCGCACAAGCGGUGGAGCAUGUGGUUUAAUUCGAUGCAACGCGAAGAACCUUACCUGGCCUUGACAUACUAGAAACUUUCCAGAGAUGGAUUGGUGCCUUCGGGAAUCUAGAUACAGGUGCUGCAUGGCUGUCGUCAGCUCGUGUCGUGAGAUGUUGGGUUAAGUCCC
rnacentral:rRNA from 1 species